rnacentral:rRNA from 1 species
CAUGCAGUCGACGGAAGGCCCACAUGCUUGCUUGGGUACUCGAGUGGCGAACGGGUGUAGUAACACGUGGGUGAUCUGCCCUGCACUUCGGGAUAAGCCUGGGAAACUGGGUCUAAUACCGGAUAGGACCGCAUUUUGGAUGGUGUGGUGGAAAGUUUUUUCGGGGGGGAAGAACUUCCGGGCCAUCCACUUGGUGGGGGGGGAAAGGGCCAACCAGGGCUCCAACGGGAACCCGGCCGGAAAGGUGGACCGGCCCCUUGGGAAUGGAAAUCCGGCCCAAAUCCCACCGGAAGGCACCAUGGGGAAUUUUGGCCCAUGGGCCCCAGCCUGAAGGCACCACCCCCCCUGGGGGAAUAACGGCCUUCGGUUGGAAACUCCUUUUCCUUAGGAACAAACCGUAUGUGACGGUACCUGGAGAAGAGCACCGGCUAACUACGUGCCAGCAGCCGCGGUAAUACGUAGGGUGCGAGCGUUGUCCGGAUUACUGGGCGUAAGAGCUCGUAGGUGGUUGUCGCGUCGUUGUGUAAGCCGCAGCUUACUGCGGAACUGCAGCGAUACGGGGCAUAAUCUUGAAGUGGCUGGUAAGGGGAGACCUGGAAAUUCCUGGGUGUAGCGGGUGGAAUGCGCCAGAUAUUCAGGGAGGGAACACCGAUGGCGAAAGGCAGGUCUCUGGCCAGUAAUUGACGCUGAGAGCGGAAAAGCCAUGGGGUAGCGACCAGGGAUUAGAUACCCUGGUAGUCCCAUCCCCGUAAACGGUGGGCGCUAGGUGUAAGUCCCUUCCACGGGGGUUCGUGCCGUAGCUAACGCAUUAAGCGCCCCGCUUGAGGAGUACGGCCGCAAGGGCUUUGAAUUCAAAGGAAUUGAGGGGGGCCCGCCCAAGCGGGGGAGCAUGUGGAUUAUUUCGAUGCAACGCGAAGACCCUUCCCUGGGCUUGACAUACACCAGUCCGGGCCAGAGAUGGUCUUUCCCUUUGGGGUUGGGGUCCAGGGGGGCCAUGGUUGUCUUCAGCUCGGUUCGUGAGAUGUUGGGUUAAGUCCCCCAACGAGGCCAACCCUUUUUUUAUGUUGCCACCAAUUGGGGUGGGGACUCGUGAGAGACUGCCGGGGUUAACUCGGAGGAAGGUGGGGAUGACGUCAAAUCAUCAUGCCCCUUAUGUCCAGGGCUUCACACAUGCUACAAUGGUCGGUACAACGCGUUUUGGGACCCUGGGGGGGGAAGUUAAUCGCGGUAAAGCCGGUCGUAGUUCGGAUUGGGGUUUGCAACUCGACCCCAUGAAGUCGGAGUCGCUAGUAAUCGCAGAUCAGCAACGCUGCGGUGAAUACGUUCCCGGGCCUUCCCUCACUUCCCCCCGUCACGUCAUGAAAGUUGGUAA